GAUUGGUGCGGGUGGUAGUGAACUGGAUUGGAGGAGAGAUGAAUACAAUUUUGGUUAUUGGGCCGAGUAAGGCCUAUUAAAGAGAAAUUAAAUAAUUCAUUUUAAUCUCCCAAUCAGAGAAUUCUAACCAUAACAUACCGAAUCGGAGCAAACCGUCCGACCAUAAUGCGAAUUUUAAUUUCAAAUCCUUACAACAAAUCGAAACGUUAUACAUUAAAACCGUAAAGGGCCAAAGGCCCAUAAAGCCGCCUAAUAAUAACAAAGAAGGGUGAAAAAUGGAAAUAACAAAGAAGAGUUUUAAAAAAAGGAAACUUUGAAUCCAAAAAACAGGAGUCUAUAAAUAUAGAGAGUCUCAAGCCUUCUCUUCUCUCUAUCUGUAAUCGUUUUAGUUUCAUUAAACAAACCCUUGAGAAAUACACACAGAGAGAAUUAUAGAGUGGGAGAGAUGAAAUUACAUACGCAAUUGCUCUGAUUUGUUUCUCCAUUCUCUUCUUCGAUUCCUGCUUCGAUUGCUUCUAUUUCAUCUCUAAUGAUGCUCUGGUUCUUCUCCUUCCUUUGUCUCUCGAUCAUGGCGUAACGAUAACUUCUCUCAGUCUCCGUCGUCGGAAGUUUUUGUACUUUUGUUUGACUUCAAAGGACGUCGGAUUUUGUUUACUCUGUCUUUGGUUCAUCGGAAGCUUUUGCGUUUCUCAGUCACGGACACGCUUUGGUUCAUUGGAUGAUCGGAUUAUCGGAAGCUUUUGCUUUUCUCAGUCACGGACACGGUGGUGGGGAAAAAGGCCUUGGAUUGCGA